rnacentral:rRNA from 1 species
UACGUAGGGUGCAAGCGUUAAUCGGAAUUACUGGGCGUAAAGCGUGCGCAGGCGGUUUUGUAAGUCUGUCGUGAAAUCCCCGGGCUCAACCUGGGAAUUGCGAUGGAGACUGCAAGGCUAGAAUCUGGCAGAGGGGGGUAGAAUUCCACGUGUAGCAGUGAAAUGCGUAGAGAUGUGGAGGAACACCGAUGGCGAAGGCAGCCCCCUGGGUCAAGAUUGACGCUCAUGCACGAAAGGCGUGGGGAGCAAACGAGGAUUACGAGUACC